rnacentral:lncRNA from 1 species
UGUUAGCCAUAUUCCUCUUGGCAGUUACAUGAAGUUGUUCCUGCUGGGCUGUUUUGUUGUUACUGAGUUACCUUUGAAAUUCUUCCCUUUUUAUGACCGCACUCCAGAGGCCCUUUUAAUAACCUGCUCGGGGUUAAUGCUUCCAUGAAAGCCCUGCUCGCUCUGAUACACUCCCUGGCUUCUCUUUAGAUUGUGCAAGUCUUUCACUGCGAUACAACAUAGUUUACAGAGAAGAAAAAUCCAGAUAAUUUUGUGGCACAGAUCUGCUGCCUCAUACUGUCAGCUCACCUGGCCUGGAUCAGGUGCCAGCAUGGUGGCUUUCCACCAUAUUUCCAGAGAGAACAGAUAAAACUGUUAGAAUGUGUUCACGUGGGCUGGAGACAAGGCAUUGCUAAAUGUUUCAUGGUAGUUAACGCAAGCAGUUACAAUCAUGAAGGGAUGACGUUAAACAGAAGGCAGUACAGUUUAACACAGAUAAAGAAGGUUACUGCAUCCAUUUGGUGUCUUUACUGCUGGAAAAAUAAUGUUGAGCAGAAGUUUUUUGUGUUACCUUGGUAA